rnacentral:tRNA from 1 species
GAGGGUAUAGCUGAGUGGUAGUGUGCAUGCUUAGAUGUGCAAGAUCCUGGGUUCAACCCCUAGUACCUCCA